rnacentral:tRNA from 1 species
AACAUGUUGGCAGAAUUAUGCACUUGAUUUAGAAUCAAUAUAUGGAGUGUCCACUUGUUA